ACUUAAAUAGUAAGGGUCCGGGGAUACCUAAAGAGGGGUUUUUGCCUUUUAUGGUGUGAUGGAGAUGAAGCAGGACCUCGAUCAGCAACAGUCGCCGUCGCCGGCAGGCGACCACGACUUCCCCGUUCCUCCGCCGCAGCGCCGCCUCCGUGGAUUCGCCGCCUCCGUCUCUGGCGGUGGCGGAGGCGCCGUCGCAACGAAGGGGAGGAAGGAGCGGGAGAGGGAGAAGGAGCGGACGAAGCUUCGGGAGCGGCACCGGCGAGCGAUCACGAGCCGGAUGCUCACUGGCCUUCGCCAGUAUGGGAACUUUCUCCUCCCGGCGAGAGCGGACAUGAACGACGUGCUCGCCGCCCUCGCACGCGAGGCCGGGUGGAUCGUCCAGCCCGAUGGAACCACGUACCGACAAUCCCCCGCCCUUGCCUCCUCCAUCCCAGCCGACGUUCCACCAGUUCAAUUGACACCAACUCCAAUUAGAUCCGAUGAAAGUCCUUUAUCUCCCACUUCCCUGAAGAAUUACUCUGUUAAAGCAUCAUUAGACACUCAGGCUGCCCUUCUUAGGAUUGAUGAGACAUUGUCACCGGCAUCCUUUGGUUCUGUUGUUGUUGCAGAAAGAAACAUAAAGAAUGAUAAAUGUGCUAGUACAAGCCCGGUUAACUCACGUGAGAGUUUCGAACCUGACCAGCUGAAUCGAGAACAUGCACAUGAUAAUGCUGAAUGUGCUGGAACUUCUUAUGUGUCUAUUUAUGCUUUGCUCUCAAGUGGCAUGAUGAACACUUAUUGUCAACUGGUCAAUCCAGUAGCUGUGCGACAAGAAUUAAGGCAUCUGGAGUCAUUAAAUGUCGAUGGGGUGAUUGUACAUUGUUGGUGGGGAGUGGUGGAAGGAUGGAAUCCAGGCAAGUAUGAUUGGUCUGGUUACAGAGAUCUCUUUAAUAUUAUUCGAGAGUUCAAACUGAAGCUUCAGGUGGUAAUGGCAUUUCAUGAAUCUGGAGGGAACAGUUCUGGUGAUAUUUCAGUCUCCCUACCCAAGUGGGUCCUGGAGAUUGGAAAGGAUAAUCAAGAUAUUUUUUUCACAGAUCGUGAAGGUAGGAGAAGCACUGAAUGUCUUUCCUGGGGAAUAGAUAAAGCACGUGUGCUGAGAGGAAGAACUGGGGUUGAGGUCUGUUACGAUUUUAUGAGAAGUUUUCGAACAGAAUUCAGUGACUUGAUUGAGAGUAGAUUUAUUUCUGCUGUUGAAAUUGGACUUGGUGCUUCAGGGGAAUUGAAAUACCCUUCAUUUCCAGAAAGAAUGGGUUGGAGAUAUCCUGGCAUCGGUGAGUUUCAGUGCUAUGACAAAUAUAUGCAGAAGAAUCUUCGACUUGCAGCAAAAGCACGUGGACACUUGGUUUGGGCAAGAGGACCUGAUAAUGCUGGGCAUUACAAUUCAAGGCCAGAUGAAACUAGAUUCUUCUGUGACAAGGGAGAUUACGACAGCUACUAUGGACGUUUUUUUCUUCAUUGGUAUGCACAAACACUCAUAGACCAUGCAGAUCAGAUAUUAUCCCUUACAAACCUGGCAUUUGAAGGAAUAGAAAUUGUCGUUAAGAUUCCUGCAAUUUACUGGUGGUAUCGGACAAGUAGUCAUGCUGCUGAACUCACAGCUGGGUUUCACAAUCCUACAAAUCAAGAUGGCUACGCCGCAGUUUUUGACAUGCUUAAGAAACACUCAGUAACUAUGAAAUUUACAUCUUCCCGACCGCAGGCUUGUGUUCAGAUAAAUGAAGGAGCAUUUGCUGAUCCUGAAGCGUUAAGCUGGCAGGUUCUGAACGCAGCCUGGGAAAGAGGAUUAAAAGUAGCUGCUCAAAGUACUCUUCCUCGCCAUGCCAGAGAUACAUACAUUAAAAUCCUACAGAUUGCUAAGCCAAAAAAUGAUCCUGACUGUCACCAUCUCUCAUUCUUUGCUUAUAAUCAACAGUUUCCAGCUAUAGAGAUGCAGAGAGAGAUGAUAUCGGACCUUUGCAGUUUCAUCAAGAGCAUGCAUGGUAAGUAGGAUAUCAAUAGGUUCGCGUCUGCUGGAAUAACUACCAUGCAAUGUCAAAUUCUUCAUGCAUCCUUUUUAUGUAUCCUUGAGAGGCCAAUGAUGACAUUGAAGGUUGAGGUGUUAUCAUAUUCACAUAGAUCCUCAAACGAAUGCAGUCAAGGUGCAGUCUCUGUUCGAAUGAAAUGUCACAGUGAAUUGCCAGCGACACCAUUUUUUAUUAACACCUCCCUCAACCUGGGCUGUGUAUGACUUGGUUACCUUAAAGGUGCUCUGAGCUUGACCUUUAAGUUGAAUCAUACAACCUUCUUGUGGUGAAUGCAAGUUGGAUUUUCUGGUAAAAUUUUCAGAUUGGUAAAAUUUUCAGAUUUUCUUGUUCAAUAUUGUCCCUUAGAAUCUUAUGGUGAAUGCAAGUAAAUAUAUAGAAUGUGGCAUGCAAAUUAGGUACUUUUUUCGCAGCAUAUAGACUGUUGAGACCCAAUCAAAUGAAAUGCCAAGUAUGCUGUAAGAAGAAGAAAAAAAUGCUCACAGUUGCAGUUUUUUCAAUGGAACCUUUUUAUCUCUAGAUUUAACAAAAGUUUCUUUUAGGUGAAAUAUAUUACAAGAAAAUUGCCAUGUCAUGUUGGUAACUUGAAUCAAGUUCUUAAAAACAUACCUUUGGCAUGGUUAGUGUGCUCGAGUCAAUCAUGGCCCAUGAGAUAUUAUAAAAUUUUGUAUAAUUUUUAUAUUGUCCUUUUGUUCAAGCUAACAAAAGAAA